rnacentral:tmRNA from 1 species
GGGGGCGACCGGUUUCGACAUUUUAGAAAGAAACUUUAAAUCGCAUGUAGAGCUUAGUAACUCUUUAAACUUCUAAACUUUAUUAAGUGCCGAUUAUGGCCAAAUGGCUGUAGCUUAAUUGCAUGCAGUCCAUCAUCAGUAGGCGUUUCUCAUCGGUAGCUGAAUGGUGUCAUAAAAAUGAGAUAGCAUGUUAAUUUUCUUCGAUUUAACAAGCGAAAUUCAGAAGAUAGUUUUAUACAUGAUUGUUCUUGAACAUGUAUAAAAUGAAAACUAAUCAAGUAACUAAACAUGUAGAAGUUUAAUUUUUCUCUAUCAUGGACGGGAGUUCGAAUCUCCCCGCCUCCAC